AGAGUUUGAUCAUGGCUCAGAUUGAACGCUGGCGGCAUGCCUAACACAUGCAAGUCGAACGGAAACGAUGCUAGCUUGCUAGCAGGCGUCGAGUGGCGGACGGGUGAGUAAUGUAUAGGAACUUGCCCAGUAGUGGGGGACAACUUAUGGAAACGUAAGCUAAUGCCGCAUAAUCUCUACGGAGGAAAGCAGGGGCUCUUUGGACCUUGUGCUACUGGAUAGGCCUAUAUCGGAUUAGCUAGUUGGUGAGGUAAAGGCUCACCAAGGCGACGAUCCGUAGCUGGUUUGAGAGAAUGAUCAGCCACACUGGGACUGAGACACGGCCCAGACUCCUACGGGAGGCAGCAGUGGGGAAUAUUGCACAAUGGAGGCAACUCUGAUGCAGCAAUGCCGCGUGUGUGAAGAAGGCCUUAGGGUUGUAAAGCACUUUCAAUAGGGAGGAAAAGUGAGUAGUUAAUACCUGCUCGCCGUGACGUUACCUAUAGAAGAAGGACCGGCUAACUCCGUGCCAGCAGCCGCGGUAAUACGGAGGGUCCGAGCGUUAAUCGGAAUUACUGGGCGUAAAGCGCGCGUAGGCGGAUAUUUAAGUCAGAUGUGAAAUCCCUGGGCUCAACCUAGGAACUGCAUUUGAAACUGAAUAUCUAGAGUAUGGUAGAGGUGAGUGGAAUUUCAGGUGUAGCGGUGAAAUGCGUAGAGAUCUGAAGGAACAUCAGUGGCGAAGGCGACUCACUGGGCCAUUACUGACGCUGAGGUGCG
rnacentral:rRNA from 1 species